rnacentral:rRNA from 1 species
UACGGAGGGAGCUAGCGUUAUUCGGAAUUACUGGGCGUAAAGCGCACGUAGGCGGCUUUGUAAGUAAGAGGUGAAAGCCCAGAGCUCAACUCUGGAAUUGCCCUUUAGACUGCAUCGCUUGAAUCAUGGAGAGGUCGGUGGAAUUCCGAGUGUAGAGGUGAAAUUCGUAGAUAUUCGGAAGAACACCAGUGGCGAAGGCGGCUGACUGGACAUGUAUUGACGCUGAGGUGCGAAAGCGUGGGGAGCAAACAGG